rnacentral:lncRNA from 1 species
CCUUAGAAUCUGGUCAUGUUCUAGUUGAGUAAUAGUUGUACUCAUAACUUAACUUACUGGUGUAUUUCUUUCUUCUAUUCAACCUGCUUUAUUUUCUUUAAGGAUCUAAUCUGAUGCUAUUAAUUUGAUUGAUUCAAAUCUAUUUUGAAUCCCUAGUCAUGUGUUUAGUAAAGACUUCUCAGUUUGGUGUAGUGUACAAUUGGAUUUGGUAU